rnacentral:lncRNA from 1 species
CCUACAGCAUAUGGAAAUUCCCAGGCCAGGGAUGGAAUCUGAGCAGCAGCUGUGACCUACACCACAGCUGUCGCAACCCUGGAUACUUAACCCAACAUACCAGGCCUGGGAUCGAACCUGUGCCUCUGCAGCAACCCACACUGCUGUAGUCAGAUCCUUAAUCCACUGUGCCACAGUGGGAACUCCCCUGUUCCCACUCUUGAUGCCAGGGGCAAGUGAUAUUCCCUUACCAGUGCUUAAUUCCUUGUGUAUGGCUGUGAAGUAGGUCUUUCACAUCUCUGUUAUGAACUAUGUCACACUGUAUUAUUUAUUAAAUGUAUUAAAUGUAUUCAAGUUAUAUUUUAUGAAUCUUUCUUCCUCUGUCAGACUCUGUAUUCCUUAAAAUCAGAGGAAAUAUUGAUGUUCAGAGUCCUGGGAAGCACCUGGCACCUGGCAUGUGUUUAGUGCUUGAAUGGAUACACAGGUUAUACUAAAUCUUCCUGCAAAUUCUAAGUCCCAUAUCCAAAUAGGUGGGUUUUUAUUUGUUUUCAGCCCAGAAAGCUAGUUAUUGUUAUCUAUACAUUUUCAUUUACAAACAAAAGCUUUGAAAAUCGGUUUUCAUUAUACUAGGAAGUGAAGAUCUGUAUUCCAUAUUGCAGAACAGAUACAUGAUACAGCCUGACUUCAUGGUGGUGGAAUAUAAUCCUUCAGGAGGAUGGAUUGUUCCUGGUUAAAGAAGCUUUACUAUGGGGACAUUUCCUGUGUUAAUAGCUGUGAGAAAGGGUUUCUUGGAGCCAUGGGCUUCUGAGAGGGGCCUCAGCAGAUAUGACUGGGUGGGAAGGAACCAGCGAACCUGGUUCAAGGGCACCAUGCUUGUCUCUACAUUUGAUUCUAUUAGAAGUCUCAAGGCUCUUCUUUUUUGUCAAGUUUUAAAACCUUUUCAAUCGCUUACUACCCUUGAGGAUGACUGGGGCUUGGCAAUGAGAAGGAAAAACUAAGAGGCUUUUUUGUUCUGACCUUGUUCAGUUAUCUGUCACAGAAAACAGAGCUCUUAGGUCACUGUCCAUCCACUCCUGUGAUGCCAUCCUUGUGUGCUGUGUGGAAGAGUCUAUUGGUUGCAGGAGAUGCUGAAUGUGGUUCUUGGACCUUGAGAUACCCCUGGUCCAGAAGGACUUACAAAUAACAAACUUAACUGUUGCUAUUCUGCAGGUGUGUGAGCGGUAUAAGAAGUGGUGAGAUCACAGAGGUGUCAAAGCAAUGGCCAUGCUCUGUGUGGGUCAGUCUUGAGAGAUGGUGGGAAUUGAUUGAGCAUGCGCAGAGCACAGGGAAGGGACAGUAGGGAGAAGAAAGCUUUCCAGGCAGAAGGAAGAGCAUUAUCAGAGUGAAAGAAGAGGAAGAUGCCUGACAUCUUCCAAGAAGCUCCACAUGUCAUAGAUGGAUUGUAUAUCACACACAAAAUGGGGACUCUGCUAAAAAGGCAGGGGGUGGCCAGAUAGAGAGAAGCCCUGCAUGACAAGGAAGAGCAUACUGAAAUUCCUUCUGGUAGGAGCCAUGCUGUCAUUAAUUUAGAAAGUUGGCUUUUUAUGAAUGAAAUGGGCAGUGCACUCUGAGAUCAAGGCUGGGAAAAGAGACCAUGUGAACUGUAAUUAUCAGAACGCCGGAGGACCUUGAGUUCUUUGAAGGAAAAGCUUUCUCUAUUCAUGGAGACUCAGGGCCUUCCCAUCCUUUUCUUGGUGUAGAAUAUUCAAGAAGCAUUGGUUCUUUUAUGGUAAUAACAAUUCCGACAUGUGCCUCUGCCUGAAUAAUUUAUUCACAUUUUAACUAAAAAGUUUCAAGAAAAAUGCCAGCUGUGGACAUCUGAAAGCCAAAUGUGAAUAUUCUGUGGAGGAGCAGGUGGGGGAGGGGACUGUGGAAAGUCAAGGUCUGGGCUGUGCUGAGAGGGAAAAAUUCCUGAGAAUGGGGUUCCCCCUAGAGGUGGCAGUGAGUCCAGCCACAGGACUGUGGACACAGGGUCCCUGUUCCUGCCUGUUUGGGAUGCUCUGUGCUUCCUGAACAGGCUCCCUGAGAACUGAGCCCAAUUCAGUGGUGGGAAUAGAAGCUUGUUGUUGUUUGCCUGGCUCCUCAGUUUUCCCUGAGCCAGCUUGGAAAAAAAACGUUAAAACCGAAUCAGAAUGGCCUCUGCCUUUCUCACUGAUCCUGACAGGAUAGGUCCAGAGUCUGCUUCUCAUGUGAAGUGUCUGUCCCUGAGCAACAUAGGAGGCCGUAGAGAAGGAAAAAGUGGAGACACGGAUAAGAAAAAGAAAAUGCAAUUGAAGCCUAGUGGUCAUUGUUUUUCUUGAAACUAUGUUUGUAUGUUAUAUGUUUCUAUUAAGGUAUUGCUAAAUGUGAAAUGUUCAUCACAUGGUUGUCACAUGUGUAUGAACAUACAAUUCCCAGUGAUGAUCUCUGAACACAUAUACACAAUGCACACAAUGCACAUGCCUACCCACAUCUAUACAUAUACACACAUGCACAUAAACACACUCACACACCUAUGCAAGCAUUCACAUAAACAUAUACUUGUCAUAUACACACAUAUAUAAACACAUGCAAUGUAUAUAUACACAUAAACAUACACAUGUGCAUAUACACACCGUCACACAUAUACACAUGCACAUAACAUGCACAUAACUUUCAUAAACACAUGCAUACAUUCAUGCCCAUAAUGUAUCCACACAUGUACACGUGCACACAUACACAAUGUCUGUCUUCAAAACUAUGAUAAGACUUUCUUUACUUUGAAAACUCUAAAAAAGCAAAGCUUAAUUCCAUUUUAGUCCAUGCAUUUAAUCACCAUCUAUUGACCUCUGUCAUUUGUAAGGGUACAUUAAACAGACAACAGAAUAAAAUAAAACACUAAGGUCUAAUAAGUAAGAAAAUGGGAUGGAAUUUUGGGAAUAAAUGGAUGAUUUAGUAGGCCAGAUAUUUAUCAUUUCCUCUUUUUUUCUAUUGUCCAUCAGUAAUUCUGUCAUUAGAAUAUUGGCCUUUCUCUCCAUGUAUUUUGAAUGACACUGUUUAGUAAAUAUACUGUGGGCCCAUAGUCACAUGUUAUUGCCUAAAUAACAACCUGUUAUUUAUUCAUUUGAAAACUUAAUGGAAUUUUGAAAUUUUCCUGGAAGAUGCAUUAUGUGGUUUCAUGAGAUGUGUGCUCUAAAUAACACCCUGUGUUGAGGUGAUUCCUGGCUUAGCAUGUGCUAUUCCAGCCCCUGAAAUGACGUUUCCCUGUCUCUCUGGUCCUUCUCCCUUUGGCGAACAGGACCCUUGAGGAAGCUUUGACACUGGGAUUGACACCAGAGAGACUGAAAUGGCUUAUUCUGGGUUCCUCUGCCAUUUUGUACCUCCAACAUUUACAUGUAACUCAUCUGAUCUUCAGGACCAAACACUAGGAUGUAAGAAUGGCCACAUUCCUUUAUUUCUUCCAGUCACUAUGUCUGUAACCUGCACUACCACAUCAGCUGGCGGGACUUUCAACCCUGCUCACCCACCCCCAACGCUCCUAGGACUUCACAGGGUCUCACAGCUGCAGGAACAACCCAUUUCUGUGUUCAUCUUGGUUGCUGAGCAACAGCCCUACUUUUGUGUUUUAAGAUUCAUUUAAAACAGAGAAAGCUGGCAUUCAAUUUUUCUUUUGAAUUUCACGUGGGAAGGCUGGAGUGUUUUAUUUCUAGACAUCGUGUGUAUUGUCUCUGAAUUAAGGCUGCACCAACUAGUAUUGCACAAAGGUUUCUUGUCCUGCUUAGUUUAUAUCUGGACUCAUUCCCUGAUGGAGGUGUCAUCACCGUGGGCACGUUCAGCACACUGGAGAUGGGUGUGGACAUCCUUCAAGUUCUGAAUGAAGAGUUUCUUUGUAUAGGCUCUUGGGAGUUUCCAGAGUCACCGUCCUGGAGUAUGAGUGGUUCUGAUUGGCAGAGCUGAUGGGGACCCGUGUCAAUCGCUUGUAGAACUGAGCUCCACAUCUGGCUCAUUGCCAACAUGUACCCACAAGUGAAAAAUGGUUCACAUUUUAGCUCGUCUUUCCCCAUUUGGUUUAUAUUCUAGUGAGAGGUUUUCCAGAUGUUAUUUGUGUCUGUAUGCCCCGCUGGGUGAAGAACCUCUCCCCUUCCAUCUUCAAUGUUAGGGAACAGAAAGUGACCUUGGUAGUCUUCAUCAGCAACCUGCUUUUCAGAAUAAGAAAACAAAGAUAGAGAGGCAAGGAAAUUUAACAGUCAGCCCUAGGUCUUCAGCUAGACAUAAAGACACCAACUCAGUGGGGAAUCAGAAGAAAGGGGUCUUAUUUCUGAUUCAGCCACAAAAUCACUUCCUUCAGUUUUCUAUAGUAUUGAGAGCAUUGGACUAGAAAGGUAUCCCCAAUGCCAGUCUGUGAUAAUGAAGUUGUGAUACUAAAAUUUUCCACUAACCUGUGAGAUUAUAAGAAUAAUGAGGUAAAAAUUUCAAUCCUUUUUAAAAUAUAUAAAACUAAAUACUUAUUUUUGUGCCUAGUUUUCUUUUGGUUCUUCUUUGAUGAAGUAAUGGCAAUAGUACAGGAUAUUUUUUUUGUCUAAAUAACCAGCUCCUGAUUAUAUCCAGCACUGAUUUUUUUUUUACAUUUUAGAAAAAAAAUGACAUUCUUUGAUAUUCAGCAUUUCUAGAAUCUCUAGUUCAAAUGAACUCUAAAACCCCUUCCAUCUUCCAGUUUGAAGGGAGAACAUAUACUAAGUAGAGUUAAAUCAUUUUUUAGAUUACCAGACAUGUAAAGUAAUAAACAUGAAAAGAAGUACAGCUUUACUCUCUUAGUGAGAUUGUCCAUGUUAAAGGCUUUUCAUCCACUAGGAUUUUCUAGAAGUUAUUUGUGGAUAUGUGUUUGGAUACAAAAUCUCUAGUUUUGACUAAGGUUCUAGAAUAGUCUUCAUUUAAAUAGGUUAGAGAGAAAUUAACCUAAAUAUAAAAAAAAAAAAGUCAAGGAAGAAAGAAAAAACAUACAUAGGGAGGUAUCUGAAAUCUUUUGAGUAUAAUAAAGGACAUACAUUCAUCUGUAUAUUCUUUGAAAGCCUGGUUUGUAUAUACAUUAGACAACACCCUUGCUUUCUUGUAAUUGAACAGAAAUUGAUCAGUCCAAUUAUUAUAUUACAAAAUGCAAAUUUCAACUGCAAUUUUAAAACAAACCACUAAAAAUCUAAAAAUAGGGAUACAGUUUAUUCUCCUUCAUACCUACAUAGAAUAUUGAUGAUGUUUAAAGAAUGUGUUCUAUAGAUAAGAUUUUUGAUUAUAAAAUGAAAUUAGAUUUGUUUCACCCUCAAAGAGUCCCACUGAAAAAUUAUCAUCUAAAAUCUGGAAAAACUUGGAAGAAAAUAGUUUGUAAAGGAGGUUUAAAUUCCUAAGGCUUUUUGUCAGUUCUCCACUUGAAAGGUCUUUUUGCAUAAUGUUUAAUAUGCCCAAAACUUUCCUUUCAUGUUAAGGAUACUUCCAUAUUUAGAGGAUUUGAUGUAAUAGGGGGCACUGCUUUUGUGAAGCAAUCGAUGCAUUAUGUUUUGCCAGUUUAGCAAAUCUUCUUUCUAACCAACCUGACUAAACAUUUCUUUGAAUGCUGAAAAAAUGUGCAAGAGAUAAAAUAUUAAAAAGAAAACCACAUUCAAACAUACAGUAAAAUUUUCAAAAGGGGAUGAAACCUUCUCAUGUGCAUAAAUUGUUUUUUGUUUGGUGAUUUGAUGAUAUAAUAAAUCAGUGACUUUGAUUUUGGUGAAAUGACUCUAGAUGAAGUAUAUUACUUCAAAGGAAAACAAGGAAUAAAGAAAAUUAAAUGAAUUAUGUAAUAAACAUGAAUAGUAGGUUAAAGACAAGGGCAAAGAAAAAGGUAUGAAUCUUUUAAAUUUUCUUUCACUUUAAAAAGUAUCUGGGGUUCUCAUUGUGGCUCAACGGUAAUGAACCCAACUAGUGUCUAUAAGGACGAGGGUUAGAAGCCUGGCCUCACUCAGUGGGUCCCAUGAGCUGUGGUGUAGGUCGCAGACGUGACCUGGAUCCUGUAUUGCUGUGGCUGUGGUGUACGUCAGAAGCUGCAUCUCCAAUUCGAUUCCUAGCCUGGGAACUUCCAUAUGCGAAGGGUGCAGUCUUAAAAAGACAUUAAAAAAAAAAAAAA